rnacentral:lncRNA from 1 species
GAAUUCUGCUGCUUCUCCUGUAGAUGGGUGCAGGAAUUGUGAACCAUCACAGAUAAUGGACAGAUCUUUGACAUGUUGUAGUGACUUGGAGGAACAGAUCUUGCGAUUCCACAUGCACUACAAGCCACAUAACCUACCACGGAGAUUCUGACCUAUUUUCUCUUAUCUGGGAAUCAUUAAUACCAUGUGCAGACAAGAAGCAUCUGAUCAGAGACCGGUGCUAGAAUUCUAGCCAAAGGCCAUAUCAUGUCUCAAAGUUUUGUGGAAUAAAAUGGCUCUAGAAGAGGUGGUCCUUA